rnacentral:rRNA from 1 species
UACGUAGGGGGCAAGCGUUGUCCGGAAUUACUGGGCGUAAAGCGCGUGUAGGCGGGACUGCAAGUCUGCUGUGAAAUCGCCCGGCUCAACUGGGCGGGGUCGGUGGAAACUGGUCACCUGGAGGACGGUAGAGGCGAGUGGAAUUCCCGGUGUAGUGGUGAAAUGCGUAGAGAUCGGGAGGAACACCAGUGGCGAAGGCGGCUCGCUGGGCCGGCCCUGACGCUGAGACGCGAAGGCGUGGGGAGCGAACGGG